rnacentral:lncRNA from 1 species
UCAAAAUGGAGUCCUUUCUAAGUGGUAACACACAUGACAACAUGUCUGUCCUGCUAUGCUACCUAAAAACAAAAACAGAAAAUAAUUGCAUGGGCUGAAAAGCCUUUAUAUCUAUAAUGGGUUUCAAUGUAUGACAUCAUAUACGCAUAAAAUUCGAACUACUUACUACUUCAACCUUGCUCCUACUGCCUCCAGCUUCGUUGAUUUUUCCAUCCAAUUCACUCUUGCCAUUGUCAAAACAGAUAAACUACACAUCGGUUAUCCCUGGUUGAGCCACUUUGAGAUGCUGGCCCUAGUUCUUUCACGAGCAAAUGAUCGAGCACCCUGGAGUUGCUCUUCUGAAGCAAACGGACUAAAGAGUAAAAUUUCAUCCACCCGAUUAAGUAUCUCAAAUCUAAGGCUUACAGGACAUCCAAAUUGAAACAAUAUGCUAAUUCUAACAGAUCACAACACCCAAUGAAACACACACACACACACAAAACAAACAAAAAAAGAAGAUUUGCACGAUCUACUCUUCAACAAGCGAUACAAGUUCCAAUGACAUACCUUAUCAAUGGUUGUAUCCGAAUUAUCAGAUUUGUUUGGACGUCCAAGAAGCUUGGUUCUAUCCUAAUUACGGAUUCGUUUGGACCUCUAAUAAGCUUGGUUUCAUCCGAAAUAUUCACAUUUUGGAACUGGGUCACAGUUAUAUAGUCCGCGAAUAUGAUACAACCGUUGACAGGCAUGUCCAUCACCUCGUCAAGUUAAUGUCUUUUAAAUAUUUCAACAGCUUUAAGCUAGCUUGAUCUCAAUUCAAAUGGAAUCG